CAGUCGCCGCGGUAAUACGUAGGGCGCGAGCGUUAAUCGGAAUUACUGGGCGUAAAGCGUGCGCAGGCGGUUCGUUAAGACAGAUGUGAAAUCCCCGGGCUUAACCUGGGAACUGCAUUUGUGACUGGCGAGCUAGAGUAUGGCAGAGGGGGGUAGAAUUCCACGUGUAGCAGUGGAAUGCGUAGAGAUGUGGAGGAAUACCGAUGGCGAAGGCAGCCCCCUGGGCCAAUACUGACGCUCAUGCACGAAAGCGUGGGGAGCAAACAGGAUUAGAGACCCCCGUAGUCCCUGUCUCUUAUAC
rnacentral:rRNA from 1 species